UUAGUAAAGUUGUUGUAGGUUGUGUAGUUAUUAAAGAAGUUGUAGGUUGUAAAGUUGUCGUAAGUUGUGUAGCUAGCAAAGUAGUUGUUGGUUGUAAAGUAGUUGUAGGUUGUAAAGUUGUCGUAGGUUGUGUAGCUAGUAAAGUAGUUGUAGGUUGUAAAGUUGUUGUAGGUUGUGUAGCUAGUAAACUUGUUGUAGGUUGUGAAGUUGUUGUGGGUUGUAUAGUUAAUAAAGUUGUUGUAGGUUGUGUAUUAAGUAAUAUUGUAGUAGGUUGUGUAGUUAGUAAAGUUGUUGAAGGUUGUAUAGCUAGUAAAGUUGUUGUAGGUUGUGUAGUUAGUGUAGUUUCUAUAGUUAAUAGGGUAUCAGUUUUUUUAAUUGUUGGUGUAGUUUGAAUUUCUGAAAUAGAAUUUGAGGUGGAUAGCAAGUUGGUUUUACUUUCCCCUGUAUCAAUGACUAGAGUGUUAUUGAUUUCUGCAUUUAUUACUGCUGUCCGCAUGGUCAAAAGUAACGUAGUUAAAAAAAUUCGUCUUGCAAAUGGAUUCUUCAUUUUAUUGACUUAGUUUCAC
rnacentral:sRNA from 1 species